CCUACGGGUGGCAGCAGUGGGGGAUAUUGCACAAUGGGGGAAACCCUGAUGCAGCGACGCCGCGUGGGUGAAGAAGUAUUUCGGUAUGUAAAGCCCUAUCAGCAGGGAAGAAAGAAGACGGUACCUGACUAAGAAGCCCCGGCUAACUACGUGCCAGCAGCCGCGGUAAUACGUAGGGGGCGAGCGUUAUCCGGAUUCACUGGGUGUAAAGGGAGCGUAGACGGCCGUGCAAGCCAGGAGUGAAAGCCCGGGGCCCAACCCCGGGACUGCUGUUGGAACUGUGCGGCUGGAGUGCGGGAGGGGCAGGCGGAAUUGCUGGUGUAGCGGUGAAAUGCGUAGAUAUCAGGAGGAACACCGGCGGCGAAGGCGGCCUGCUGGACCGCGACUGACGUUGAGGCUCGAAAGCGUGGGGAUCGAACAGGAUUAGAUACCCUUGUAGUC
rnacentral:rRNA from 1 species